rnacentral:rRNA from 1 species
GAUGAACGCUGGCGGCGUGCCUAAUACAUGCAAGUCGAGCGGAGCGGGGACGGGUGAGUAACACGUGGAUAACCUCCUAUAAGACUGGGAUCACUUCGGGAAACCUGAUCUAAACAGGAUACUUGUAGAUGGUUCCGCGCUGCAUUAGCUAGUUGGUAAGGUAACGGCUUACCAAGGCAACGAUGCAUAGCCGACCUGAGAGGGUGAUCGGCCACACUGGAACUGAGACACGGUCCAGACUCCUACGGGAGGCAGCAGUAGGGAAUCUUCCGCAAUGGGCGAAAGCCUGACGGAGCCACGCCGCGUGAGUGAUGAAGGUCUUCGGAUCGUAAAACUCUGUUAGUAGGGAAGCGGUACCUAAUCAGAAAGCCACGGCUAACUACGUGCCAGCAGCCGCGGUAAUAC